AUACGGAGGGUCCAAGCGUUAUCCGGAUUCAUUGGGUUUAAAGGGUCCGCAGGCGGGAAAAUAAGUCAGUGGUGAAAGCCUACAGCUCAACUGUAGAACCGCCAUUGAUACUGUUUUUCUUGAGUAUAGAUGAAGUGGGCGGAAUAUAUCAUGUAGCGGUGAAAUGCAUAGAUAUGAUAUAGAACACCGAUUGCGAAGGCAGUUCACUAAACUAUUACUGACGCUCAGGGACGAAAGCGUGGGGAGCGAACAGGAUUAGAAACCCUAGUAGUCC
rnacentral:rRNA from 1 species